GGGGAUAUAGCUCAGUUGGUAGAGCUGAGGUCGUGCAGUGGUUUACCCUGCGGCGGAUGUCAGCGGUUCGAGUCCGCUUAUCUCCA
rnacentral:tRNA from 1 species